rnacentral:rRNA from 1 species
GACAGAGGCCCCAAGCGUUCGGCGGAAUCACUGGGCUUAAAGCGCGUGUAGGCGGAUCGUUAAGUGCCUUGUGAAAUCCUGCGGCUCAACCGCAGAACUGCUGGGCAUACUGGCGAUCUUGGGCCACUCAGGGGUCACUGGAACAAGCGGUGGAGCGGUGAAAUGCGUAGAUAUCGCUUGGAACGCCAAAGGUGAAGACAGGUGACUGGGGGUGUGCCGACGCUGAGACGCGAAAGCCAGGGGAGCAAACGGG